AUGGACCUCAUAUAUAAUCCGGUCAAAGCAAGUAUUAGGACCUUUACUCCCAGAGAAAAGCGCUUUGUUGAAGACAGCCGCAAGCUGUCCAAAAAGAUCUUAUCAAGAGAUGUAGACCGAGUGAAAAGAAUCACUAUGGCAAUAUGGAAUACAAUACAGUUCCUUAAAAGCUGCUUCCAGUGGGAAUCCACAUUAAGAAGUGCAAUAGCAUUUGUGGCAUUUUUGGUCACCGUCUGGAAUUUUGAACUAUAUAUGAUCCCCUUGGCAUUGUUGCUGAUCUUUGUCUACAAUUUCAUCAGACCCACAAAAGGCAAGGUCAGCAUCGCCCAGGACAACCAGGAGGGCACAGACAUAGAUGACGAUGAGGAUGAAGAUGACAAGCAGCCUCCACCACUGGGACGUGCUCCUCAUGGACUUGGACACGCAGUCACUGGGUGACUGCCCACCAUCGUGUGCUGUAUAAAAAUGUCUUACCCACUGAGCCCUUCUGGCUUCUGUUGCAUGUUAGACAUGACAGACCAUGCUUCUGGGAACUGUAACACACCCAGUGAGAGAUGAACUGUUUAUAAACACACAGCCGCUUCGUUCAAAACCAGAAGAGGAGAGAAACUCCUUUCGACCCAAACUAUCCAUCUUGAAAGUGACACUCUUUAAUUGCUAGUGUCCCAUCCCACCAAAUACCAUCACGGAAGACUGUGGAUGAAGAUGAAAGCGUGCCGGGGCCCGUUGGCACAACUUCUCAGGAGAUGAAUGCGUUCCCAUAUUCUGCCUGUCUCUGAUGCACAGACCAGGACACAGUCUGGUGUCUAUCAUACUUUUAUCAUCUGGAACAGGGAUUUUUGUAAAAUUACAUCACUGUAGCAGCCUCUUGCUCCUUCUCAUUGUGAAACAUACAUGGUGGAAACCUGUGUUAGAAACCAGAUUAGAUUCCACAAUUUUGCCGCCUUUUGUGGACUCUCGGUGAUAACAGAGAACUUGCAAGUAACUAGCUUUGUGGCUUUUAGGAAAUGAAAUGUCCAGGCUAAAUUUUGAAAAGAGGAAAUCCCUUUCUCUAAUACCUGAUGGACCAUGUAAGAAAUUGCUUGUUACAAGUAUAGUUUUCUAGGGACUCCAGAACAAACAGAUAAUGGCUAGGUUCAGCCAACAGCAAUCAGUUGACAUUUCCUAUUUGUAUUAGAUUCCAUAUGUGGAAUCCUUCCGUGUGGACCUUAUUUGUAUGGAUGGAUUACAAUGAAAAUUGCAUUAAUUUUCUACACAGUAAAGGUCAGUAAUUGAAGCAUGAACCAAGAAACUAUUGUGUAAAAUGCUGUAUCCCAUACUUAGGAAAGGUCAUGCAAGACAAUAAUAUCUUGUUUUCAUUGCUGAAGGUAUAAAUACUUGCAUUAGAGUUUCUUUCUUUUUCCAGCCCAACAAUCACUUACAUAGACUAUUUCAGCAUUUACUAUUAACAUCAGGAAGAAGAAAUCAUAAGGGCAUGUAAUAAAAGGGGAAAAAAACCCCUCUUUAUUGCUAUCCAAAAGAAACUGUACUCUGAUGCCUGCUUUGUGGGUUGGUUUAUUUAUAACAAGGCUGUCAGAAAUAGGACUGGAAUGAUCUGUUCUUUUAGGAUCAUCAAUGAGGUCACAAUUGACUGACAGUAUUUAUGAAAAAUGAAAAUCACUCUUUUAUAUCAGUUAUAGAUGAGAGACAGAUACAGGCAUUUUUAUUUAAGAAAAGAGGAAAUAUCUAUUACAUUUUUGUUAGUUGAGGAAUGUUUUAUAAUGGAAGGAUGCAAAUGGAUAUUUUAUCUAUAUUGUCACAAAUUAAGAUGUCAUCAUUAAAAUUUAAGUACAUAUUAAAUCCUCAAUUUCAGUGUUUAAAAUGGUUUUCCAUCCUUCAAUUUGAUUAGUCCCUUUGUUAUUACCCAGGCAUGGCCUUUAUAGUGUUAGAAGCACACAUUUAGAAGUCCUCUCUGUGAAUUAACCUGAACAGUCCUUUGUAUGCCAUGGCUAAGUCCAUCACGUUCAUUCUCUGUUUCUUUAUGCCAGAGAGAGAGAGAAGAUGAUCUGUAGUUUUCUAGAUAGGGAAGUCUUUUAAUGGAGGAGUCUUCUUGCAGUCCAAUCGUGAGAGUGGUUUUGCUUAUGAUUCCUUUGUGCCAAAACACUGUAAAUUGAUGUGAUUAGUGAUUUUUUUCUAACUCUUGCAUAAGUAGUGGUAUUUACUGAUGAUAAAGUAUGAUAGUUUUAAGAAAAUUAAAACCCAGAGAGUGUCUGAAUGAUCCACAAUAGUUGUGAGUACACCCACAUACUUUCAGGGAUAUAUAACUUAUACAUAGGCAUAUUGUAGAAGACCUGCUUAUGGAUAAUUUUCAGGGGAAAACAUAAAUGGUAAUUUUGAUUUAAGUCAUUUUAAUUUGAUUUAAUAUUUUUAUAGUGAUGAAGUGAUUUAAUUGCUAACAUUUCCAUCAUACUAUCUUACUUUCAAGCCUUUAGUAGUGAAGUGGAUUUUAGCCAAUUCUUAAUUAUCAGUUUUGUAUGAGAAGGGAGUGCCUUCCCGAUUUUCUAUAGUUCUUUGACAUAUCCACUUGCUCGAAUUCCCUUUUAGAAAAUCAAACCUCCAUUCUUAGAAAUGUCUGACUUAAUAGACUUUAGAAGUAAUCCAGAAAUAUUGUUAACAUGGCCUUUUGGAACAUUAUUCAGAGUGUCCUACUUACUAUCAGACUGAUAUUCUUAGUAGUUGUAGAUCUCUGCAAUUUCCGCUGUAAGGGUGUACUUGGUUUGUUACUACCAAAUAUUGUGAACUAUAUACUGGACUAUAAAUUGGAUGACUUAUCUUUCUCUCAGGUAACAUUUACUAUCUGACAGAAUACCCUCAGAGGCUCUGAUAUUUUAGUCUGUACAAGUUUAGUAUCCCUACUCUCAAAAUCCAAAAUGCUCCAAAAUUCAAAACUUUUUGAGCUCUGAUUCUCAAAGCAAAUGAUCAUUGGAACAUUUCGGAUUUCAGAUUUUUGCAUUGGGAUGAUCAACCAAUAUAAUGCAGAUAUUUCAGCCCCCCCCCCCAAAAAAAAAUCUGAAAUCCAAAACACUUCUGAUCCCAAGCACUUCAGAUAAGGGAUACUCAACCUGUACUGUGUCUAGUAUUUAAUUUCCCAUUGCCUGAGAUUCUUACAUCACCCUAAGAUAGACUGCACUGGACAUCGUAUAAUGAUUAUUCACAAGUGAGUGUUUUUCUGAAAAUAGUAGCUAUUUCUUUUGAAUUUGCAAAAGAAAUAUCCAUCUGUUUCUGUGUUUCUUGUCCUAAGUCCCAAUUAUUCAAUGAGCUUAUGAGAUAAUUGAUAAUUUAUAAGAUAAUUGAUAGAAAAAUGGAGAUACCACUUUUUACCUCAAGGGAAAAGUAAUCAUUUGAUUUAAAACUUUUAAAUGAAAUAAAAGUGAUAAUGUAAAACAAGACCAUUUUGAGUAAUGUUUAAACAGUUAGAUUUAUAUAAAUAUUAAUAUUUUUAGAAUAUUUACAGUUUGCAGGCUGCUUUUAUAUGUUUUAGCUCAUUCAGAACCCAUAUUAAAAUGUCGAAUUUGAUAUUGUUUUCCCUGUCUAAAAAUUAACAAACAAAGGUCAAGAGAAAUUCAGUAACAUGUCUGAGAUUUCUCAGCCAGGAUGGCAGCCACACUCAAACCCAGCUCUUCUGAUCUAACUCUUGUUUAUUUUUGACCAUGCCAGAUUGUUGUGAAAGUAACAUGUCAUAAUUAUGAGUUCAUUUUUAUGCGUUGUUUUGGAAACACUUAAUUGUUUUCUCUAUAUCAGAGACUCUCUGAGUACAAAGGUUGCAUCCAUCAACAAGGUGCUCUUAGUAAAAAUAACGCCAGCACCCUGAGAUUGCUGCUUUCAUCAGUGUUUGUAAUGUGGUUGUGUAGGUAUGCUGGGCAUCAGAGGAGAAAGGCUGGGGGGGAGGAGUUAGGGGGUCAGGGAUGCUAAAAGGAGGUGAUGUGUGAGCCAAAACUUAGGGUAGUAAGAAUUACUUGUUGCCUUGCUUUAUCACAUAAAUAUUUCAUCUUAUGUCCCCCCUACUUUCCCACCUGGGAGAAAAUUAAAGGAUGCACACAGCUAAAAUCAGCAACUGCAGCUUAUUGUGUAUUUAUCUACUGUAGUUACAGUUACAGAAAACCAUUUUCCCUGUUUACCUUGUGGUGGCAAUGGCAUUCUGUCACUUGGCUCAGAGAGACUUUUAAUGAAAUCAGUCUACCCAGGGUCUAAGUUCCAAGUAAUUUUUUCCCUAAAUUGUUACCACUUUUUCAAUUGUUUUAUGAGUGUCUUCCUCUUGAAGUUGUUGUGCAUUCCUUUUACUUUUUCAUCCCUGUAAUAGCAGUUGAGAUUUCUAUUGCAAAUAGAAAAAAAAAAAAAAACCUAGUAAAUGCCAGCACAGUGUGUAAGUGCUUAUGUAAUGAACAGAUAGAGCAGUAUAAGACCACUUAGAAAUGAUAUUGAUUCAAAAUCCAAAUACUGUUUUAUAUUCAUUUCCCAAAGCAAAAGAACUGCUUGAGAAAUACUCUAAGGAAAGAGUACGGCUUCCCCCCGCCCCCCAUUUUAAUAGCAUGCACCAUGGAGUUGACUGUGUGUGUGUGUGUGUGUCCACUGCCCACAGAAUGCUUCAUGGGAAGAAAUCCUAAGGACAGUUCCCAGUGCAUUAAGCUGGGAUUCCCAAAGAACAAUUUUUAAUCUCAUAUAUCAGAAAUAUUGCUUCUUGUUCUUUGUUAUGACAGAUACUGAAAGGUUUUUUUUUUCAUGCUAAAUGCCACUCAAUCUAUUUCUAAUGUUUAUACUUUUGCAAGUUUUCAAAUUAUAGGCUUUUAAUACUCAGUGGAAUGAAACAGACCAAACAUAUUCCUGUU
rnacentral:lncRNA from 1 species